rnacentral:rRNA from 1 species
AUUGAACGCUAGCGGGGUGCUUUACACAUGCAAGUCGAACGAGAGGCGGACGGGUGAGUAAGAUAUCGGAACGUGCCCAGUAGCGGGGGAUAACUACGCGAAAGAGUGGCUAAUACAGCAUACUAUGGGAGCGGCCGAUAGCGGAUUAGCUAGUGGGUGGUGUAAAGGAUCACAAAGGCGACGAUCCGUAGCUGGUUUGAGAGGACGACCAGCCACACUGGGACUGAGACACGGCCCAGACUCCUACGGGAGGCAGCAGUGGGGAAUUUUGGACAAUGGGGGAAACCCUGAUCCAGCCAUCCCGCGUGUAUGAGAAGGCCUUCGGGUUGUAAAGUACUUUUGUCAGAGAAGCGGUAUCUGCAGAAUAAGCACCGGCUAACUACGUGCCAGCCGCCGCGGUAAUUC